AAUGAUGGUUACGCCCUCUUUCUCCAACAAGGCAAAGAGGAUUCUACUAGUACCAAAUAAAUCAGUUUCCAUUCCUGAAACAAUCAGAGUCAAAGGUCAGGCCCAUCGCCGAUAUUGUUUGCAUGGAGUAAGAGAGGAAGAGAGCGAUGCUGGAUGCUGGGCCAAUAGAGGAUUGCGAGAAGCAAACACGGAGCAAUUCACAUGAAGAUUCACUCACCUGAAAAUUGGCGUCUCAUGCUGCAGCAGCUGCUUAUCUCGCAUCUUCACUCUCCUCUGGUUAUUGCUCAUGAACAGUCGGAAUCUCCAUAUAUCAGCAAGGGCACUGAACGGGAUGCGGCUUGCGUAUAUCUCUCCUCAGCACCCAUUACUCAUUUCAGAGCAGUGGAUAGGGCCCGAACUAUCGGAGAAUUCUGGGGAAGACAGUCUUGGAGUCUGGAUGUAGCAGCAAGGCUCUCUCUCAUGCUCAUGAAGUGAACUGCAUCCUUUUGUAGGAAGAACAAUAGCUAGGCCAACCAAAAGGAAAGGCAGUAAUGCAAAGGGUUGACAGGCUGUGUGUGAUGGCUAAGCAGGAUGCAAGGGCAGCAACAAGGGAAAAGUUCAGGAUUUGAGAUCGUUGGCAGGAGGCACAAGUAUUUGUUUAACAGGCUCAAGGAAGGAUCAGGGAAGUGCAACAACCAAUUGGAAGGCCAAAUCUCGCUGGUUUAAUGAAACAACAAGGCCAACCUAUAAGCAUGUGGAGCAGAUAUUUCACGCAGGCCUUGCCGGGACUAAGGAUAUCAAGGAUUUGAACUUUGCAGCCCCCCACCCCACCCCACUCCCCUCUGAUAUAGAUAAGCAAGGCCAGACAUAUCUUCACAUGUUUGCAGUUUGUAGUAGUACAGAUCUGCAGAUACCGUGGGCCUACACGGCAAUGAGUUAUCCUAGGCUGUCCUUGGUAGUCGUCACAGUCCCAGCCCUGGGAUCUGGCCACAGCCUUGGAAAAGUGAACUACCGUUUGAGUAUCCAUCAGCAUAACUUGUUUAUUUGUUCAAUUCGGCUCUCUAUACCAUAUGCUGCUAAGGGCCCGAUAUCACUAUAUCAGACAAGAAAAUAUCUAACAUGGAAAGGAACUUUGCAACGUCUUGGCGCUCAUGGCCAUCCACGUACCACUCAAAGUCAGACAAGCAGCAUCAACUCUGGAUAACUUCGACAACAAUCUACUGGCUCUUGUUGCACCCUGAGACCAGAUAUUCGAUAGUUCCUUUCAAGAACGACUAGAUACGCAUGGACAACUUGCUCAUAAAAGCUCUCCUAUGUUGUUAAGGCCUGAUUCUACAGUUGCUGGGAGAGAAUCAAGUAGUAGUGAGGAUCCUAAAUAAGGAGCAGCAGCGUCCAAAUAAUGCAAAGCGACUGUCGCACUCGCGUCCAAGGCCCGACAGGCUACCUGCCGCUGAUCCUUUCCCUCGCUGUCGAGAGCUGCGGCCAAUCUCUUAAUGAGUAUUCCUGUGUAUGUGUGUAGGUGCGCGCUUGGUGGCCAGCACAAACAACAUCAAACUGGCUGGAUCACAUGGACCACACCGUGGCGUCCAGUCCAGUUGUUCGCGUACGUACGUGCAGCUUUCGUCCUCGGAUGCGCUCGAGGGAUCUGGACAUAGAUUAUUGGUGGCUUCUCGCCACGCCAUGAGUGAGUACUUUGGACCUUUCCUGGCCUAGAUCUG